rnacentral:rRNA from 1 species
GACGAACGCUGGCGGCGUGCUUAACACAUGCAAGUCGAACGGAAAGGCCCUGCUUUUGUGGGGUGCUCGAGUGGCGAACGGGUGAGUAACACGUGAGUAACCUGCCCUUGACUUUGGGAUAACUUCAGGAAACUGGGGCUAAUACCGGCUAGGAGCUCCUGCUGCAUGGUGGGGGUUGGAAAGUUUCGGCGGCUGGGGCUGGACUCGCGGCUUAUCAGCUUGUUGGUGGGGUAGUGGCUUACCAAGGCUUUGACGGGUAGCCGGCCUGAGAGGGUGACCGGCCACAUUGGGACUGAGAAACGGCCCAGACUCCUACGGGAGGCAGCAGUGGGGAAUAGUGCACAAUGGGCGGAAGCCUGAUGCAGCAACGCCGCGUGCGGGAUGACGGCCUUCGGGUUGUAAACCGCUUUCGCCUGUGACGAAGCGGGAGUGACGGUAAUGGGUAAAGAAGCACCGGCUAACUACGUG